CCGAUAACUCUGGAAUAGCCUUUCGAAAGAAAGAUUAAUACCGGAUGGCAUACGAAUAUCGCAUGAUAUUUUUAUUAAAGAAUUUCGGUUAUCGAUGGGGAUGCGUUCCAUUAGUUUGUUGGCGGGGUAACGGCCCACCAAGACAACGAUGGAUAGGGGUUCUGAGAGGAAGGUCCCCCACAUUGGAACUGAGACACGGUCCAAACUCCUACGGGAGGCAGCAGUGAGGAAUAUUGGUCAAUGGGCGAGAGCCUGAACCAGCCAAGUAGCGUGAAGGAUGAAGGCUCUAUGGGUCGUAAACUUCUUUUAUAUGGGAAUAAAGUUUUCCACGUGUGGAAUUUUGUAUGUACCAUAUGAAUAAGGAUCGGCUAACUCCGUGCCAGCAGCCGCGGUAAUACGGAGGAUCCGAGCGUUAUCCGGAUUUAUUGGGUUUAAAGGGAGCGUAGGUGGAUUGUUAAGUCAGUUGUGAAAGUUUGCGGCUCAACCGUAAAAUUGCAGUUGAAACUGGCAGUCUUGAGUACAGUAGAGGUGGGCGGAAUUCGUGGUGUAGCGGUGAAAUGCUUAGAUAUCACGAAGAACUCCGAUUGCGAAGGCAGCUCACUAGACUGUUACUGACACUGAUGCUCGAAAGUGUGGGUAUCAAACAGGAUUAGAUACCCUGGUAGUCCACACAGUAAACGAUGAAUACUCGCUGUUUGCGAUAUACAGUAAGCGGCC
rnacentral:rRNA from 1 species